UAAUUUAAAGACGUGUGAUAAAAUACAGAGAGGUGAAGUCGUGUGUCUUUCCAGAUGCCCAAAUCAUUCCCCGUUAAAAGGUAAUGAAUAGUGUUAUGAAAAAAAUGUAUUUCAAACUAAAACAUUACAUUUAUGUUUCUAUACUAAUGAAAUAUGUUUUUCUUUUUCCAAACUUAAUCAAAUGCAAUGAUCGCUAAGAUGAGCCUGAAGAGGAGAUUUGGGAAGAUGCUGUUUCAUAAGUCGCUUUGCCAGAUCACCUGUGGUAAGUUUGUAAAACGUAUAUUAAAAAUAGGAUUAGAACAUCUCCUAAUCAAAAGUUUUUGAUCAGGUCGGGAUGUCUGCUAACAAGAUGCCUUGCUGGUCUGGGCGAGUUUAAAGUCUUACACAGACAGUCCAGAGGUUCUGAAGUCCAUCUUCGAUUUCAUUGAUGCUGUCAUCGUUUUAAGUACAGUAUGAGCAAGAAUAGAUGGGUGGUGGUGGCCAUAAGAAGACUGUCAACUAAACCAACAACAAAAUUGAUAUUUGCAGUUUUUCUUGAAUAAAGUUUUUCUAUUCAGAUGAAUAAAAUGACUUUUAAACAUGA